AAUGUCGUAACAAGGGUUUUCCGUAGGUGAACCUGCGGAAGGAUCAUUUAAAGAAUUAGGCUUCGCGGCCAAGGUUCUCACCCUUCGUAUACCGAAACCAUGUUGCUUUGGCAGGCCCCUGCAUUUCUCGGGCCUGCCAGCAGGUUAUAAACCCGUAGAAUCUCUGCUGUCUGAGUACUAUACAAUAGUUAAAAG
rnacentral:misc_RNA from 1 species